rnacentral:rRNA from 1 species
GACGAACGCUGGCGGCGUGCUUAACACAUGCAAGUCGAACGGUGAAGCGCCUUCCUUUUUGGUGGGUGUGGAUGAGUGGCGAACGGGUGAGUAACACGUGAGUAACCUGCCCCCUUCUUCUGGAUAACCGCAUGAAAGUGUGGCUAAUACGGGAUAUUCUGGGUCUGUCGCAUGAUGGGUCUGGGAAAGAUAUUGUUUCGGUGGGGGAUGGGCUCGCGGCCUAUCAGCUUGUUGGUGGGGUGAUGGCCUACCAAGGCGGUGACGGGUAGCCGGCCUGAGAGGGUUGACGGUCACACUGGGGAUGAGGCACGGCCCAGACUCCUACGGGAGGCAGCAGUGGGGAAUAUUGCACAAUGGGCGCAAGCCUGAUGCAGCGACGCCGCGUGAGGGAUGGAGGCCUUCGGGUUGUGAACCUCUUUCGCCAGUGAAGCAGGCCUGCCUCGUUUGUGGGUGGGUUGACGGUAGCUGGAGAAGAAGCGCCGGCUAACUACGUG